AAAGUAAAUUUAUAUUCAGAUGACCUCCAACUCCAUUAAUGAUCUCACACCAGGCAUAGACGCAAGUUGCUGGAAUAGCAAAAUUGCUGAAGGAGUGUGAUAAUAUAACUCGAAAUGAAAGAAAGUUAUGAACAUGUGAUGUGAAUACAACUGAGAAAUUCAUAAACCCAACAGGAUUGGGGUUUGGAGGGGCAGAAAGGGCGCUCAAGGCAUGCAGCAAUACUAUUGCUACUAAUGAGUGCAGCCACAGGAGGCCAACUAGAUUAUAAAAAUGAUAACAAUGAAAAAGAUGCGCAAAAGGGACAUGCUUUAGAUUUCAUAUUUCAUUUCGACUGCAUUAUCUAAGUGCUCAUCUCCUAACAGGGUGGUUUCCACCUCGAGCUGGUGCCUCAUACCCAUUUCCAGCACGAGCUGGUGGCGUUGUAGACCCAUAAUGCAUAUUGUUUGCCGCUACCAUUUGUCCUUGCAGUCCAGUUGUUGCUCUUGAAGCUGCUCUUGAGGCUGCAUCAUAGCCAGCACCCCUGGAUGCAUCAUAAUGAGGUCCUCGUUGCACAUCAUAUGCCGGUCCUCUAUGGAUGUCAUAACCAGGUAGUCUCUGAGCAUCAUAAGCAGGUAAUCUUUGUGCAUCGUAACUAGGUCCUCUUGAUAUAUCAUAUCCAGGUCCCCUCUGAACAUCAUAAUUGUGUCCCCUUUGUGCAUCAUAACCAGCUCCUCUCAAUACAUCAUAUCCAGGUCCUCUUGAUGAAUCAUAUCCAGGGACUCUGGAUGCAUCAUAAGCAGAUUUUGGAGCUGUGGAGCUAGAUGGAGCUCCGGCAUAAGUAGGAGUCCCAGUACCAGAAUUAGCUACCAUAUUAGCAUUGGCAGCACCAGCUCCAGCACCAGAGUUACCAGGAACGGCAGAAUGGCCCUGGCCAUGAGGAACACCAUAGCUAUCUUCAUAUAUAUUUUGUCCAACAGGCCGACCAGAAGCCUCAUUCUCAUUGUUCCCAGUGGCACCACCAUAUGGCCCACCAGCAACAGUUUUCAUAUCAGCAUUAGCUGUGUUAGUAAGUUCUAAACGAAGCUUUUCCACUUCCCUAGACAUUGUAACAUAGUUCUUCUCCAUGGCCUGAAGUGACUCCAGGUGGUCACUGAAUAAUUUCUUUUCAUAGUCAUAUGAAACCCUGCAUCGCUGAUAUUCCUGCCUGAGGCUUUCAAGUUCAGACAUCAGAACAGGAAUCUGCAGCACAUCUGCAUGGGCCCUAUGAAGAUCCUGAGUCAAAUGAUGCACUUUCGACACAAGCUCCUGCCUUGCUACAACCAAGUUCUCAGCUUCUGUUCGUGCCUGAUGCAACUCCGACCUAACAGGCUCUGCAGCCUUCAGCUCUGUUUCAAUCUUGGAAAUUUUAUCCACAAGGCUCCUCAUAUGUAGUUCUCUUUCAGACUUGAUAGCACCUAUGUGAGCAUGUAAUAUCUGCAACUCAUGCUGUGCAGCAGCAAGUUCCUGUCUCAAGUUGCUAUGUGUGGCAGCCAGCCUCUGGUUCUCUGUUGCAAGUCUCUGCAUCUCCACAUGUUGUGCAGCAAGCUUUUGUUCCAUAACUUCCGGGGGUGGUAACAUGUCAAAAGGAGGAUAGGGACCAAGUGGAGGGCGUACACCAGAAACAAAUGCAUCAGGGUGCACUAUACCUGACCCAGGAUGAGGACGCCUUAGAUGAGAAGGUGGAAUCCGACCUUUACUUCCCAUUUAAAGUAGAUAAUAUUUUACCUGGACGGACAAGCUACAGCGGAGUCCUUGACGGUGAAACAGCACGAACGAUUAUGGUAACAGAGGAAAAUUCCCUGUC
rnacentral:misc_RNA from 1 species